rnacentral:tRNA from 1 species
GGAGAGGUACCCAAGCUGGCCAAAGGGGGCAGACUGUAAAUCUGCUGGCGUUCGCCUUCACUGGUUCGAAUCCAGUCCUCUCCACCA